GGGGAAUAUUGGACAAUGGGCGCAAGCCUGAUCCAGCAAUGCCGCGUGUGUGAAGAAGGCCUGCGGGUUGUAAAGCACUUUCAGUGGGGAAGAACGGGCCAAGGUUAAUACCCCUGGCUUCUGACGUUACCCACAGAAGAAGCACCGGCUAACUCCGUGCCAGCAGCCGCGGUAAUACGGAGGGUGCAAGCGUUAAUCGGAAUCACUGGGCGUAAAGCGCACGUAGGCGGCACGUUAAGUCAGCUGUGAAAGCCCUGGGCUCAACCUGGGAAUGGCAGUUGAUACUGACGCGCUCGAGUCUGAGAGAGGGGGGUGGAAUUCCAGGUGUAGCGGUGAAAUGCGUAGAUAUCUGGAGGAACACCGGUGGCGAAGGCGGCCCCCUGGCUCAUGACUGACGCUGAGGUGCGAAAGCGUGGGGAGCAAAC
rnacentral:rRNA from 1 species